AGUCCAUGGUGUUGAUACAUCCACAAAAACUCCUUAAAUUGGUCCCAAGCAUCAUAUAAAGAUUCUCUAUCUUUUUUAGCAAAGCUUGUAAUUUGGUUUCUGAGUUG